rnacentral:misc_RNA from 1 species
AACGCACCUUGCGCUCCUUGGUAUUCCGAGGAGCAUGCCUGUUUGAGUGUCAUUAAUAUAUCAACCCUCUCAUGUUGAGUGAGUAGUGGUUUGGAUGUGGGGGGUUUGCUGGCCUUGUAAAAAGGUUCAGCUCCCCUGAAAUGCAUUAGCAGAACAACCUGUUCAUUGGUGUGAUAAACUAUCUACGCUAUUGAAUGUGAGGGCAGUUCAGCUUUCUAACAGUCCCUUGGACAAUUCUUCAUUUAUGUGAUCUCAAAUCAGGUAGGACUACCCGCUGAACUUAA